AGAGUUUGAUCCUGGCUCAGGAUGAACGCUAGCGGCAGGCUUAAUACAUGCAAGUCGAGGGGCAACAGGGGUAGCAAUACCUGCUGGCGACCGGCAAACGGGUGCGCAACACGUACAGAACUUUCCUUUAAGCGGGGGGAUAGCCCAGAGAAAUUUGGAUUAAUACCCCAUAGUAUUAUCAGGUGGCAUCAUUUGAUAAUUAAAGAUUUAUCACUUAGAGAUGGCUGUGCGUCUGAUUAGGUAGUUGGUGUGGGUAAUGGCCUACCAAGCCUUCGAUCAGUAACUGGUGUGAGAGCACGACCAGUCACACGGGCACUGAGACACGGGCCCGACUCCUACGGGAGGCAGCAGUAAGGAAUAUUGGUCAAUGGAGGCAACUCUGAACCAGCCAUGCCGCGUGAAGGAUGAAGGUCCUCUGGAUUGUAAACUUCUUUUAUGUGGGAAGAAAUGCAUUCUUUAUAGAGUGUUUGACGGUACCAUAGGAAUAAGCACCGGCUAACUCCGUGCCAGCAGCCGCGGUAAUACGGAGGGUGCGAGCGUUAUCCGGAUUCACUGGGUUUAAAGGGUGCGUAGGUGGGGAAGUAAGUCAGUGGUGAAAUCUCCGUGCUUAACAUGGAAACUGCCAUUGAUACUAUUUUUCUUGAAUUUUCCGGAGGUUAGCGGAAUAUGUCAUGUAGCGGUGAAAUGCUUAGAUAUGACAUAGAACACCAAUUGCGAAGGCAGCUAACUACAGGGAUAUUGACACUGAGGCACGAAAGCGUGGGGAUCAAACAGGAUUAGAUACCCUAGUAGUCC
rnacentral:rRNA from 1 species